UUCGGGGUACUCGAGUGGCGAACGGGUGAGUAACACGUGGGUGAUCUGCCCUGCACUUUGGGAUAAGCCUGGGAAACUGGGUCUAAUACCGAAUAGGACCACGCGCUUCAUGGUGUGUGGUGGAAAGCUUUUGCGGUGUGGGAUGGGCCCGCGGCCUAUCAGCUUGUUGGUGGGGUAAUGGCCUACCAAGGCGACGACGGGUAGCCGGCCUGAGAGGGUGACCGGCCACACUGGGACUGAGAUACGGCCCAGACUCCUACGGGAGGCAGCAGUGGGGAAUAUUGCACAAUGGGCGCAAGCCUGAUGCAGCGACGCCGCGUGAGGGAUGACGGCCUUUCGGGUUGUAAACCUCUUUCAAUAGGGACGAAGCGCAAGUGACGGUACCUAUAGAAGAAGCACCGGCCAACUACGUGCCAGCAGCCGCGGUAAUACGUAGGGUGCGAGCGUUGUCCGGAAUUACUGGGCGUAAAGAGCUCGUAGGUGGUUUGUCGCGUUGUUCGUGAAAACUCACAGCUUAACUGUGGGCGUGCGGGCGAUACGGGCAGACUAGAGUACUGCAGGGGAGACUGGAAUUCCUGGUGUAGCGGUGGAAUGCGCAGAUAUCAGGAGGAACACCGGUGGCGAAGGCGGGUCUCUGGGCAGUAACUGACGCUGAGGAGCGAAAGCGUGGGGAGCGAACAGGAUUAGAUACCCUGGUAGUCCACGCCGUAAACGGUGGGUACUAGGUGUGGGUUCCUUCCUUGGGAUCCGUGCCGUAGCUAACGCAUUAAGUACCCCGCCUGGGGAGUACGGCCGCAAGGCUAAAACUCAAAGGAAUUGACGGGGGCCCGCACAAGCGGCGGAGCAUGUGGAUUAAUUCGAUGCAACGCGAAGAACCUUACCUGGGUUUGACAUGCACAGGACGCCGGCAGAGAUGUCGGUUCCCUUGUGGCCUGUGUGCAGGUGGUGCAUGGCUGUCGUCAGCUCGUGUCGUGAGAUGUUGGGUUAAGUCCCGCAACGAGCGCAACCCUUGUCCUAUGUUGCCAGCGGGUUAUGCCGGGGACUCGUAGGAGACUGCCGGGGUCAACUCGGAGGAAGGUGGGGAUGACGUCAAGUCAUCAUGCCCCUUAUGUCCAGGGCUUCACACAUGCUACAAUGGCCGGUACAAAGGGCUGCGAUGCCGUGAGGUGGAGCGAAUCCUUUCAAAGCCGGUCUCAGUUCGGAUCGGGGUCUGCAACUCGACCCCGUGAAGUCGGAGUCGCUAGUAAUCGCAGAUCAGCAACGCUGCGGUGAAUACGUUCCCGGGCCUUGUACACACCGCCCGUCACGUCAUGAAAGUCGGUAACACCCGAAGCCG
rnacentral:rRNA from 2 species